CGCCUCUGCAGCGCUCCGGAACCUCGCGCUGGGUCGAAUCCAGGUGCUGGCCUCUCUCUGUCGCUCAGCGCUGCAUCUCACGGUGGAACCUGAAGUCAUGCACCGAAGCUGUUUCCCAAGCACAUUAAAGUGUGACCGAGUUAAACAUCCAGAUCUCAGCUGUGUUGACUUACAGCCAACUUGAGUUACAAGCUUCCCUCAGGAACUGAUCAAGUUGUAAGAAAAGGGUCCACCAUAGAACGUAAGUCCAUAAUUUCAUGGAUAUUACUGCUACAUUAAAUCUUUACAGUAAGAAUAUGAGUUGAUUUAAAUAAAAAUAGCCAGUAAAUAUUAGUACAGGUGACA
rnacentral:lncRNA from 1 species